AUGAAUACAAUGAUGUGAUAAUUUCUGAGCACAUAUCUGAUUAUUUCAUGUGUAAUCUAACUGCUGAGUUUCAU
ensembl:snoRNA